UACGUAGGGUCCGAGCGUUGUCCGGAAUUACUGGGCGUAAAGAGCUCGUAGGCGGCUUGUCGCGUCGUCCGUGAAAACGCGAGGCUCAACCUCGCGCCUGCAGUGGGUACGGGCAGACUAGAGUGCGGUAGGGGAGAUUGGAAUUCCUGGUGUAGCGGUGGAAUGCGUAGAUAUUGGAGGAAGACACCGGCGGCGAAGGCG
rnacentral:rRNA from 1 species